rnacentral:misc_RNA from 1 species
ACGCAACGAUGAUUAUUCUCUACAAACCAUAAAGACAUUGGAACGCUAUAUUUUAUUUUCGGGGCCUGAGCAGGAAUAGUAGGUACUGCUCUUAGUUUAAUUAUUCGUGCUGAGUUAGGUCAACCAGGAAGACUUAUUGGAGAUGACCAAAUCUAUAAUGUAGUAGUUACAGCUCAUGCAUUUGUUAUAAUUUUCUUUAUAGUUAUGCCUAUUAUAAUUGGAGGAUUUGGAAACUGAUUAGUUCCUUUAAUAUUAGGAGCACCUGAUAUGGCAUUCCCACGAAUGAAUAAUAUAAGCUUUUGGCUGCUGCCUCCUUCUCUUACUCUUCUCUUAUCCAGAGGAAUAGUUGAAAGAGGAGUUGGAACAGGAUGAACUGUGUACCCUCCUUUAUCAGCUAGAAUCGCACAUGCAGGGGCCUCUGUAGAUUUAGGAAUUUUUUCAUUACAUUUAGCAGGGGUUUCAUCAAUUUUAGGGGCCGUAAAUUUUAUAACAACUGUAAUUAAUAUACGAUCUACAGGUAUGACUAUAGACCGAAUACCGUUAUUCGUCUGAGCAGUCUUUAUUACUGCACUUUUACUCCUAUUAUCUUUACCUGUUCUAGCAGGAGCUAUUACAAUACUUCUUACCGAUCGUAAUCUUAAUACUUCAUUUUUUGACCCAGCGGGUGGAGGAGACCCAGUCCUUUAUCAACAUUUAUUCUGAUUCUUCGGGCACCCAGAGGUCUAUAUUCUAAUUCUUCCCGCCUUUGGAAUAAUCUCACACAUCAUCAGUCAAGAGUCGGGUAAAAAAGAAGCUUUUGGUACUUUAGGGAUAAUUUAUGCUAUAUUGGCCAUUGGAGUUUUAGGAUUUGUAGUGUGAGCUCACCAUAUAUUUACAGUAGGAAUGGAUGUUGAUACACGAGCUUACUUUACAUCAGCAACAAUAAUUAUUGCUGUUCCUACAGGAAUUAAAAUCUUUAGUUGACUUGGGACCCUCCAUGGAACCCAACUAAACUAUAGCCCAUCAUUAAUUUGAGCGUUAGGAUUCGUUUUCUUAUUUACUGUGGGGGGAUUAACAGGAGUUGUUCUAGCGAAUUCUUCGAUUGACAUUAUUCUCCACGACACUUAUUAUGUAGUGGCCCAUUUCCACUACGUUCUCUCGAUAGGAGCUGUAUUUGGAAUUUUUGCAGGAAUUGCUCAUUGAUUUCCUCUUUUUACUGGUCUCACAUUAAAUCCUAAAUGACUAAAAAUCCACUUUUUAGUUAUAUUUGUUGGAGUAAACAUUACAUUUUUCCCCCAACAUUUCUUAGGACUUAAUGGAAUACCUCGACGAUACUCUGAUUAUCCUGAUGCCUACACAGCUUGAAAUGUUGUUUCAUCUAUUGGGUCUACAAUUUCAUUAAUUGCUGUCCUCGGAUUUAUUAUCAUUGUAUGAGAAGCUCUAACUGCUGCACGGCCUGUAUUAUUCUCUCUAUUCUUACCAACAUCUAUUGAAUGACAGCAUAAUCUUCCGCCAGCUGAUCAUAGUUAUAUAGAAAUUCCGUUAAUCACUAACU